rnacentral:rRNA from 1 species
AGUGAACGCUGGCGGUAGGCCUAACACUUGCAAGUCGAACGGCAGCACAGUAAGAGCUUGCUCUUACGGGUGGCGAGUGGCGGACGGGUGAGGAAUACAUCGGAAUCUACUUUUUCGUGGGGGACAACGUAGGGAAACUUACGCUAAUACCGCAUACGACCUACGGGUGAAAGCAGGGGAUCUUCGGACCUUGCGCGAUUGAAUGAGCCGAUGUCGGAUUAGCUAGUUGGCGGGGUAAAGGCCCACCAAGGCGACGAUCCGUAGCUGGUCUGAGAGGAUGAUCAGCCACACUGGAACUGAGACACGGUCCAGACUCCUACGGGAGGCAGCAGUGGGGAAUAUUGGACAAUGGGCGCAAGCCUGAUCCAGCCAUACCGCGUGGGUGAAGAAGGCCUUCGGGUUGUAAAGCCCUUUUGUUGGGAAAGAAAAGCAGCAGGUUAAUACCCCGCUGUUCUGACGGUACCCAAAGAAUAAGCACCGGCUAACUUCGUG